rnacentral:misc_RNA from 1 species
CUGUUUUGGAACCGGUUGAUUGAAGGUGUGAAGCUUAGGUCUUAAGAGUUACAUAUGCGUCUGAAGCACUGCAACUAUAAAACAGACAACACCAGGGUUACCUGGAUAAACAUGACGACAGAGUUGGGGAAAAUGGACAUUUCAUGCAGCUCUGGUGACAAUCCGCCAUGGAUAAUUAUUGAUAAUAAGAUGUACGACAUCAGUGGCUACGUGUCCCAACAUCCAGGAGGUGACAUCAUACUGAAGCAUGCUGGGAAGGAUGCCACACUCGCCUUCCAGCACCAGCCAGCUCACAGGGUUGUGAAGGGACUGAUUGCAGAAAAACUGAAGACAAUGUAUGUCAAAGAUGUCAGCAAUCCAAGCAGCUGAUCACAAUUUUCUCAGCUUAAAUUGCACAGAACUUUAAAUUAGGCAGCAGAGUUGUCAAAUGUACAGACAUGAUCAUGCACCAAUGGACACUUUGAGGAAAAUAUUGAAUCAUGAUAGAAAUAGAAGUGGACCAUUGCAGGUACUAUUAAAAGUUUGAGGGGAUUUACUAGGUUUCAGCAAAAAUAAAUGGACUCUAUGGGAGAUACAGUGUCAAUAAGACAUUUUUUCAUAAGUUAACUUCUGUGAUAGUUGUAAGACAAUGCCUGAUUUUGUGAGUUCAAUCCACCAGCCUCUGAUAAUUAUAUCAAGAAACAAAACAACAGUAUGUGUCCAACUGCAACAAAACAUUUAUUCUCAGAUUCUGGGCUUAUGUAUACAAAUAAGUACAAUGAAAUGAUGUUACGUGAUUAUGUCAGGUCACAUACGCAUGCUGUAAAAUAAAUAAUGUUAUGUAUAAUCUUUAUCCUUUCACGAUUGUUUAUUUUGUAAUCCAAGUACAUAUCAAGUUUCAAAUGUACAUCUUGUUCUUGAGACUUCACACUCUAUUGCUUUACUGUGUAAUGCCCCUAUUUCACACAGACCACGAAUCCCACGAAUGGCCAUGAAUUGACAAAUUUCACGAUUUGU